GAUGAACGCUGGCGGCGUGCCUAAUACAUGCAAGUCGAGCGAACAGACGAGGAGCUUGCUCCUCUGACGUUAGCGGCGGACGGGUGAGUAACACGUGGAUAACCUACCUAUAAGACUGGGAUAACUUCGGGAAACCGGAGCUAAUACCGGAUAAUAUAUUGAACCGCAUGGUUCAAUAGUGAAAGACGGUUUUGCUGUCACUUAUAGAUGGAUCCGCGCCGCAUUAGCUAGUUGGUAAGGUAACGGCUUACCAAGGCGACGAUGCGUAGCCGACCUGAGAGGGUGAUCGGCCACACUGGAACUGAGACACGGUCCAGACUCCUACGGGAGGCAGCAGUAGGGAAUCUUCCGCAAAGGGCGAAAGCCUGACGGAGCAACGCCGCGUGAGUGAUGAAGGUCUUCGGAUCGUAAAACUCUGUUAUUAGGGAAGAACAAAUGUGUAAGUAACUAUGCACGUCUUGACGGUACCUAAUCAGAAAGCCACGACUAACUACGUG
rnacentral:rRNA from 1 species